UUGAAGGCAGGUUUGUAAUCUCUGUCAAAUACACGUGUGUGUGUUGUUUUCUUCCCAUCAAAGAUUAGUUCUUCCACUCACCAAGAUAAUACACAUUUGGCUUCAUAAUCCUCAAGGAGGCAAGGGUACAAGGUCAAUUAUUUCUUUAUUUAUAUUGAUUUGUUCACAUCACUAUAUGUAUAUAUAUAUAUAUAUAUAUAUAUAUGUAGUGUGCGGGUGGGGUGGAUAUACAUAUGUAUGUAUAUAUAGAGAGUGAGAGAGAGAGAGAGAGAGAGAGAGAUUUUCUUCUUUGGCAUGUUGGAAAUCAAAAAUUGAAUUAGCGUGUACUGUUUUCAUUUGUAGUAAGUCGAAUUAUAGGAGACGAGAAAGAAUAAAUAGAAGAAUAAAUUUGUAAUAAACUGUGGCUGCUCAGGGUCUGUGCACAAAAGUUGCACUGCUGCUUCAACAGCAAAGCAGUAGAGAAUUGUGGGGCCCCUAAUAAAUUAAUGAGUGCACAUUACACAGCACCAAAGAAAAAAUAAAAUAAAAUAACAGAGAGAAAAUAAUAAAUAAAUAAAUAACUCCACCUAUGAUCAUUCAGCCACAUUAUGAUCCCUGCAAGACUUUGCAAAAGCUUGUAAGCAUAUUUGAGGCGGUGCUUGC
rnacentral:lncRNA from 1 species